rnacentral:lncRNA from 1 species
CGGCUGGCCAGCAUGCCCGCCUGGAGGUGGGACCUCCUGCGGAAGAAGCUGGAAGAAGAGAGGUGAGCCGGCGGUCAGGCAGAGGCUGGCCUGGCAGCGGGUCUUGACUGCGCCCCUGAGGUGGAGGUACCAAGUGACACUGUUUCUCCUUCUAGGAAGCAGAAGCGUUGGAGAACCAGUCCCAGCCUUGUGACACUGGGCCCAAUCAGCGUUUAGCCCACCAGGGUCCACCCAGCACCUGCGCUCCCAGCUGUCACAAUGCAAACAACGCUAUCAAGAUCUCCAGGAGAAGCUGCUGCUAUCAGAAGCCACUGUCUUUGCUCAGGCGAACGAGCUGGAGAAAUACAGAGUUAUACUUAGUAGGUGAACCCUUGCUGAAGCAGGACAGUAAACAGGUCCAGGUGGACCUCCAGGACCUGGGCUAUGAGACUUGUGGCCAAAGCAAGAAUGAGGCUGAACAGGAGGAAACCACCAGUCCCGGACUACAACCAUAGGGCCACCCACCACAUUGAAAACCAGAAGAGCAUUUUGCUGCCGCCGAGCGUGGACGCAGGCGGAUCUCCGAAGAGCUGGGUCGCCAGCCUCUCCCGCGCACGUUGCCUGGCCUCCAGCACCUACUUGGUCCCGCGCGCUCCCUCGUGUCGCCCCUCGGAGCAGCAGCCGCCGCGGUCGCCGCUACCCGGAAAGAAGUCAGAGACGCCGCGAGGUCGCCGCCACCGCCAUGCCCAAGAAUAAAGGUAAAGGAGGUAAAAAUAGACGCAGGGGUAAGAAUGAGAAUGAAUCUGAAAAAAGAGAACUGGUAUUCAAAGAGGAUGGUCAGGAGUAUGCUCAGGUAAUCAAAAUGUUGGGAAAUGGACGGCUAGAAGCAAUGUGUUUCGAUGGUGUAAAGAGGUUAUGUCACAUCAGAGGAAAAUUGAGAAAAAAGGUUUGGAUAAAUACCUCGGACAUUAUUUUGGUUGGUCUCCGAGACUACCAGGAUAACAAAGCUGAUGUAAUUUUAAAAUACAAUGCAGACGAAGCUAGAAGUCUGCAGGCAUACGGCGAGCUUCCAGAGCAUGCUAAAAUCAAUGAAACUGAUACAUUUGGUCCUGGAGAUGAUGAUGAAAUUCAGUUUGAUGACAUUGGAGAUGAUGAUGAAGAUAUUGAUGACAUCUAAAUUGAACUCAACAUUUUACAUUCCAUCUUUUCUGAAGAUUGUCCUACAAUUUGGAUUUUGAUCAUGACAAAGAAGAUUAAAAUUUCAUUAGCAUGAAUGCAAUUUGUUAAAGCAGACUGAUUUGUUUCUAAGAUAUUUUUGGUUUUUUUAAAACUGAUAAUAAUGCUGAAUUAUCUUAAGUGAGAUGUUAAGCCCACUUUGUUCUUUUAAUGUAAUGGAGCUUAUGGGUAGAAGACCAUGUCUACUAAUUACAAAAAAAAAAAAAAAAAAAACCAUGCAUUGCUGCUUUUCCUACCACUUCCAGUAAGAAAAUGGGUGUUUUGAAGAAAUCAUUUGCCUUGUCCUCACGGAAUCUGAUUAAGCCCUGGCCUCUUGAUUGUAUAGAGUCAUUGUGUAUAUUCCAGUUACCUAGAUAUUCCCUUGAGAUUUUGAUACAAUUUGAGGGAGGCAGAAGUCUGCAUUUGAAGAAAAAAAAUAAGUCUGUUUGUCAUAUUUAAGUAGCCUGUGGCUAUUUUUAUACUGAUUUUGAUAUCAUGUUCUUUUCAUAGUCGUAUUUUGCCACCGUAAACAUAAAAAAAAAAAAAAAAGAUUUCCAAAAUGCCGUUUUCAGAACCUGGGUUUUAAUAGCAGUAUUGAAUUUGUAAGCUUAGUAGUUGCAGAAAUUGAACACUAGGUGGCACUCAGUUAUCUUAACAGGGGAAGUACUGAUAUAAUUGUUGACUUUUCUUUUACUAUGUGUAAGAAAUACCCCAAACAUGAAAAGAUUGUUUUGAUCAUAUGCAUGUAUGUAGAAUAUUUUUGCAGAGCAGAAAGAUUAUGUUAGAAGUGUGAUUUUUAUUUUCAGAAGUCAUAUACAUGUAAGCUACAAUUUUGAGUGCUUUAUAAACACUUAAGAUAUAUAUAUAAAUUUUAAUUUCAUAGCAACUUGUAAAAAAUAAAAUACUUGUUGAAAAGCCUUUUUCAACAUAUCCCUAAGCUAAGGGAAGAGGAAGGAAUAACAACUCAGUGAAAAGAUGGUCUCCAAUUUCUGAAUGAAAAAGCUACAGCUGAGAAAUAAAAUAAAAUGUCAUGCUGCAGAAUAUGUUAUACCCUUAUUUUGUGUUAAGGAUAUAUUUUAUUAUGCGAAUGGUUUUGUUUUUGUUUUUUGUUUUUGUUUUUUGCUUGUAUUGGGAAUUAGCUUUACUGGUAACUUCCUUAUUUAGUUUUUAGUGGUCAACUCUAAUAAAAUGAAACUAGGGCUGAGCUAGUUAGCCCUCACUAGCCAAACUGAAACUGUAUGCAACAUUAAAAGAAGAGAUCCAUCAUGUAGCUUGUGACACUUUUAUUUUAUUAGUCACCGGGGAACUUUUCAGUGAUGAAAAUACACAGGGUAAUAAACCUUCACAUGGCUUCAAAAGGAAAACAAGCAAAUCUUCUCUAAUCUACUCUUACUAUAAUUUCCUAAGUGUACACCAAACUCUGGAUUUAAAAAUCUGAAGUACUAUAGAACAUUAAGUUGAAGAAUGGAAAUUAAGAGUACAUAUUCAUGGUUUAUAUUUCUUACUCUAUGGAGUUCGUGAACACAUCUAGGUGGAAUGCAUCUGAGACUAAGGGCUGGUUUUUAAUCCUCAUAAGAAACCAGCCUUGAAGAAUUAACAAUUCUCUUCAUUGGUAUUCUAAACCUCCUAAGAUAUUUAGGCUUCUGUACAUAAAAGUGUUUUUGCUAAAUUUACAGUAUAUAUAGAUCCUUUCAUAUUAUUUUACUAAGAAUGUUUGAACUUUGCAUAUUUGACAUAGUUCCUGGUAGGAAUAGCACAGCUCAAACAUUAGUUUUUCUACUUACCUCCUCUAACACGUGGUUUGUCUGGAGAGUUUCUAAAAAUUCAGCUAUAACCCCAGUUCAUGUAUUUACUGGUGAUUGUUCUUGCUGAGGUAGUAACAGCCCAAUCUUGGGCUGUUAAAUCCUAGGAAAUCUCGAAUCAUAGUGAUUAAAAUAGUUGGGGUAAAGUUGUAGCUUAUAUGCAAUACUACUUGGAGGAAUUCUUUUACUAAUUUGUAUUUAAUGUGGAAAUUGUAUAGUUUCAUUGAUUUAAUCAUAAAUAAUGGAAAUGGUCUUCAAGAAGUUUUAUUUCAUUUUUUUGCUUAUACACUCUGAUUCCUAUAAUACAGUGCUAUAAGCUAUGCACAGAAAAUAAAAUGUUUGAAAUCCAAGAAUAAUGGUUCUUACUGCUAAGAGGGAGUAAUAGUUAUUACUAAUGAUUUUGAUUGGGUUGCAUUUUUGUUGCAAUGUUUAUUCCACUUGCAGUUAGAAUAUGAAUAUGUUUUAUCACUAAUGUGGCUAAAUAACCAAACAUUUGUGUAAAAAAAAAAAAAAAAGCCAAGAUUUCAUUGUUUGUUGAAUAUUUCUUAAGCAUCUAGCCCCUAAAGAGACUGCUUCUUACCAAGCCUGUAAACUAUGCAUGAUGGAAAUUCUUGUAUUUUAUUUAGGAAUGGCUGUUGGUUU